GUUGGGUAGGGGAGCGUUCUGUAAGCCUGUGAAGGUGUGUCGUGAGGCAUGCUGGAGGUAUCAGAAGUGCGAAUGCUGACAUAAGUAACGAUAAAGCGGGUGAAAAGCCCGCUCGCCGGAAGACCAAGGGUUCCUGUCCAACGUUAAUCGGGGCAGGGUGAGUCGACCCCUAAGGCGAGGCCGAAAGGCGUAGUCGAUGGGAAACAGGUUAAUAUUCCUGUACUUGGUGUUACUGCGAAGGGGGGACGGAGAAGGCUAUGUUGGCCGGGCGACGGUUGUCCCGGUUUAAGCGUGUAGGUGUGUGUUCCAGGUAAAUCCGGUUCACUUUAACACUGAGGCGUGACGACGAGGCACUACGGUGCUGAAGCAACAAAUGCCCUGCUUCCAGGAAAAGCCUCUAAGCAUCAGGUAACAUCAAAUCGUACCCCAAACCGACACAGGUGGUCAGGUAGAGAAUACCAAGGCGCUUGAGAGAACUCGGGUGAAGGAACUAGGCAAAAUGGUGCCGUAACUUCGGGAGAAGGCACGCUGACACGUAGGUGAAGUGAUUUACUCAUGGAGCUGAAGUCAGUCGAAGAUACCAGCUGGCUGCAACUGUUUAUUAAAAACACAGCACUGUGCAAACACGAAAGUGGACGUAUACGGUGUGACGCCUGCCCGGUGCCGGAAGGUUAAUUGAUGGGGUCAGCGCAAGCGAAGCUCCUGAUCGAAGCCCCGGUAAACGGCGGCCGUAACUAUAACGGUCCUAAGGUAGCGAAAUUCCUUGUCGGGUAAGUUCCGACCUGCACGAAUGGCGUAAUGAUGGCCAGGCUGUCUCCACCCGAGACUCAGUGAAAUUGAACUCGCUGUGAAGAUGCAGUGUACCCGCGGCAAGACGGAAAGACCCCGUGAACCUUUACUAUAGCUUGACACUGAACAUUGAGCCUUGAUGUGUAGGAUAGGUGGGAGGCUUUGAAGCGUGGACGCCAGUCUGCGUGGAGCCGACCUUGAAAUACCACCCUUUAAUGUUUGAUGUUCUAACGUGGACCCGUAAUCCGGGUUGCGGACAGUGUCUGGUGGGUAGUUUGACUGGGGCGGUCUCCUCCUAAAGAGUAACGGAGGAGCACGAAGGUUGGCUAAUCCUGGUCGGACAUCAGGAGGUUAGUGCAAUGGCAUAAGCCAGCUUGACUGCGAGCGUGACGGCGCGAGCAGGUGCGAAAGCAGGUCAUAGUGAUCCGGUGGUUCUGAAUGGAAGGGCCAUCGCUCAACGGAUAAAAGGUACUCCGGGGAUAACAGGCUGAUACCGCCCAAGAGUUCAUAUCGACGGCGGUGUUUGGCACCUCGAUGUCGGCUCAUCACAUCCUGGGGCUGAAGUAGGUCCCAAGGGUAUGGCUGUUCGCCAUUUAAAGUGGUACGCGAGCUGGGUUUAGAACGUCGUGAGACAGUUCGGUCCCUAUCUGCCGUGGGCGCUGGAGAACUGAGGGGGGCUGCUCCUAGUACGAGAGGACCGGAGUGGACGCAUCACUGGUGUUCGGGUUGUCAUGCCAAUGGCACUGCCCGGUAGCUAAAUGCGGAAGAGAUAAGUGCUGAAAGCAUCUAAGCACGAAACUUGCCCCGAGAUGAGUUCU
rnacentral:rRNA from 1 species